GACGAACGCUGGCGGCGUGCUUAACACAUGCAAGUCGAACGGAAAGGCCCUGCUUUUGUGGGGUGCUCGAGUGGCGAACGGGUGAGUAACACGUGAGUAACCUGCCCUUGACUUUGGGAUAACUUCAGGAAACUGGGGCUAAUACCGGAUAGGAGCUCCUGCUGCAUGGUGGGGGUUGGAAAGCUUCGGCGGUUGGGGAUGGACUCGCGGCUUAUCAGCUUGUUGGUGGGGUAGUGGCUUACCAAGGCGUUGACGGGUAGCCGGCCUGAGAGGGUGACCGGCCACAUUGGGACUGAGAUACGGCCCAGACUCCUACGGGAGGCAGCAGUGGGGAAUAUUGCACAAUGGGCGGAAGCCUGAUGCAGCAACGCCGCGUGCGGGAUGACGGCCUUCGGGUUGUAAACCGCUUUCGCCUGUGACGAAGCGUGAGUGACGGUAAUGGGUAAAGAAGCACCGGCUAACUACGUG
rnacentral:rRNA from 1 species